GAAACAGCUCCCUCAGUUUGGAAUCAGCUCUCCCGCUGCGGCCGCAGUAGCCGGAGCCGGAGCCGCAGCCACCGGUGCCUUCCUUUCCCGCCGCCGCCCAGCCGCCGUCCGGCCUCCCUCGGGCCCGAGCGCAGACCAGGCUCCAGCCGCGCGGCGCCGGCAGCCUCGCGCUCCCUCUCGGGUCUCUCUCGGGCCUCGGGCACCGCGUCCUGUGGGGCGGCCGCCUGCCUGCCCGCCCGCCCGCAGCCCCUUCGCUGCGCGGCCCCUGGGCGGCCGCUGCCAUGGGCACCGACAGCCGCGCGGCCAAGGCGCUCCUGGCGCGGGCCCGCACCCUGCACCUGCAGACGGGGAACCUGCUGAACUGGGGCCGCCUGCGGAAGAAGUGCCCGUCCACGCACAGCGAGGAGCUUCAUGAUUGUAUCCAAAAAACCUUGAAUGAAUGGAGUUCCCAAAUCAACCCAGAUUUGGUCAGGGUAAGUGAAAUGUGAAUGCAAAAAUCAUGCAGGUCAAAAAGGAAGUAAAGUAAACAGGAAGUUAAUUUCUUCAGUUUUGUGAGGGAAGUCAAAUAGGCAAUUAGCCAUAAACUCUCUGUGGUUGAUUUGCUGAGACGGCACUCUGAUCCAGUAGGCUUAUGCAUAAAACAGAAAAUCUAGACCGUAGGCAACUCUUUAACCAGACAAGAUACUAGGAUUCUCAUGCUUAAUUCUCACCAUGGUUUCCUCACUAUCAGUGUUUUAUUUCAGUUUAUAUUUGGUCUAGGAGAGGAAUGAUUAUCAAUUGUGAUUGGUAGAUUGCUUUAGUAGACUCAACAUCACUAGAAGUAAUUUUUCAAAUGUCAGUUUCUGAUGAAACAAUAAGGAACUGUGUUCCACUAAAUGUCAGUAUAUGGCUACUAUCAUAAAUGUUAAUGUUCAAAACCCUAAAACACAUUUUGAAAUCCAACUCAGUCAAAGGCUCACAGCACAUUACUUAGGCUACUUUAAAAGUAUGGAAAAGGACAUGUGCUGGAAAUACUGGUUCCCCUGGGCAUACUGCAACCAUGUAACUCUAUAGCUACUAUAUAGACAUUGAGUUAUGGUUUUUUUUAAAUCAAUCUCUGUUUCUCUGAAAUGACUGUUUAUUCUACUUAUGCUUGACUUGUAAACACUUACUGAACCCCUGAUACGUGCUGUGAAAGUGCUCAAGAAUCAUGGGAAAGCCUUUGCCGUUUACUUUGUAUGAUAUUGUAAAUGUAAGUUAAUAUGUAUCUGAUUUAUAUGUACUAAUAUUUUCUCAUUAUCCUUGUAAAUUAUUCAUUAAAAUACAUUCAAAUAGCCUUUGCUUUUUUCUGCUGCACUCAGGAAAAAAAAAGUUUUGGUUUACAAUGCUUGUGAUUACAGGCUGGGCGCAGUGGCUCACGCCUAUAAUCCCAGCACUUUGGGAGGCUAAAGCAGGUAGAUCACCUGAGGUCAGGAGUUUGAGACCAGUCUGGCCAACAUGGCGAAACCCCAUGUCUAC
rnacentral:lncRNA from 1 species